GACGAACGCUGGCGGCGUGCCUAAUACAUGCAAGUCGAACGCUUCUUUCCUCACGAGUGCUUGCACUCAAUUGGAAAGAGGAGAGGCGGACGGGUGAGUAACACGUGGGUAACUUACCCAUCAGAGGGGGAUAACACUUGGAAACAGGUGCUAAUACCGCCUAACAGUUUAUGCCGCAUGGCAUAAGAGUGAAAGGCGCUUUCGGGUGUCGCUGAUGGAUGGACCCGCGGUGCAUUAGCUAGUUGGUGAGGUAACGGCUCACCAAGGCCACGAUGCAUAGCCGACCUGAGAGGGUGAUCGGCCACACUGGGACUGAGACACGGCCCAGACUCCUACGGGAGGCAGCAGUAGGGAAUCUUCGGCAAAGGACGAAAGUCUGACCGAGCAACGCCGCGUGAGUGAAGAAGGUUUUCGGAUCGUAAAACUCUGUUGUUAGAGAAGAACAAGGACGUUAGUAACUGAACGUCCCCUGACGGUAUCUAACCAGAAAGCCACGGCUAACUACGUG
rnacentral:rRNA from 1 species